rnacentral:lncRNA from 1 species
GAGGUUAGCUUUAGGCAACCUGGAAGUCCUGGAAAGAGGAGAGAGGAGAGACUGGGGACAGGAAAGGAAGAGGGAAAGCAGAAGGAGACAGAGGCAAAUGUAGGCAGAGCCCAAUGUGUCCAGCUGGCUGAAGCCAACUCUCCGAGGAGUGUGUGUACUUCCCUGGAGGAGUGGGUAUGUGUUUUAGGUUUCAGAGAAUGACCCCCACGCUGGCCCUACACCAACAUCAGCCAUCUCCAUCGAGCCCUGCCAGUGGCUAUGAAAAGAUCUGUAUAAGUGAAAAGUCCAUUCCUGUCUCAAGGUGCCAAAAAUAUAGGUAGGAGGAAAAGAUGUGAAUAGAAAUUUGAUAAUAAGGACUUAAAAGCUCAAACUAAAAUCUCCAGGUGACAAUGAAGAGGACAUCAGGAUGUUGUAAACUUCACUGCCCUGUGAGUGCUUCAGGCCAGGGUUGCUGUAGGAGUUCAGCGUGGAGGGACCGUUGGACCUGGAGUCGGACAGGUGGAGUUAGGAUCGCAUUUCUAGCCUCACUUUCUGGUGACCUUGGACAAAAUUCCUUAACCACUCUGAGCUUCAGUUUCCUAACCUGU